UAGGGAAUCUUCGGCAAUGGACGAAAGUCUGACCGAGCAACGCCGCGUGAGUGAAGAAGGUUUUCGGAUCGUAAAACUCUGUUGUUAGAGAAGAACAAGGACGUUAGUAACUGAACGUCCCCUGACGGUAUCUAACCAGAAAGCCACGGCUAACUACGUGCCAGCAGCCGCGGUAAUACGUAGGUGGCAAGUGUUGUCCGGAUUUAUUGGGCGUAAAGCGAGCGCAGGCGGUUUCUUAAGUCUGAUGUGAAAGCCCCCGGCUCAACCGGGGAGGGUCAUUGGAAACUGGGAGACUUGAGUGCAGAAGAGGAGAGUGGAAUUCCAUGUGUAGCGGUGAAAUGCGUAGAUAUAUGGAGGAACACCAGUGGCGAAGGCGGCUCUCUGGUCUGUAACUGACGCUGAGGCUCGAAAGCGUGGGGAGCAAACAGG
rnacentral:rRNA from 2 species